rnacentral:rRNA from 1 species
GACGAACGCUGGCGGCGUGCCUAAUACAUGCAAGUCGAACGCAGUGGGGACGGGUGAGUAACCCGUGGGUAACCUCCCAUCAGAGGGGAUAACAAUUGGAAACAGGUGCUAAACCGAUCCUGAUGGAUGGACCCGCGGUGCAUUAGCUAUGUGGGGAGGUAACGGCUCACCAAGGCCACGAUGCAUAGCCGCACUGAGAGGGUGAUAGGCCACACGGGAACUGAGACACGGCCCGGAACCCUACGGGAGUCAGCAGUAGGGAAUCUUCGGCAAUGGACGAAAGUCUGACCGAGCAACGCCGCUUGAGUGAAGAAGGUUUUCGGAUCGUAAAACUCUGUUGUUAGAGAAGCGGUAUCUAACCAGAAAGCCACGGCUAACCACGUGCCAGCAGCCGCGGUAAUAC